rfam:Gossypium raimondii Chr01_contig_18, whole genome shotgun sequence.
UGUUAAAAUUUCAUCUAUUUGUGCUGUUAAAAACUAGUGUAUCUGAUGGAAUGACUAGACAAUGAUAUGUGAUGUGCCACGUGUAUGACAACAUGACGCAAAGAGACCAAUUUUUAACAGUAAAAAUGGAUGAAAUUUUUAACA